rnacentral:rRNA from 1 species
AUUGAACGCUGGCGGCAGGCCUAACACAUGCAAGUCGAACGGUAACAGGAAACAGCUUGCUGUUUCGCUGACGAGUGGCGGACGGGUGAGUAAUGUCUGUGCAACUGCCUGAUGGAGGGGGAUAACUACUGGAAACGGUAGCUAAUACCGCAUAACGUCGCAAGACCAAAGAGGGGGACCUUCGGGCCUCUUGCCAUCGGAUGUGCCCAGAUGGGAUUAGCUAGUAGGUGGGGUAACGGCUCACCUAGGCGACGAUCCCUAGCUGGUCUGAGAGGAUGACCAGCCACACUGGAACUGAGACACGGUCCAGACUCCUACGGGAGGCAGCAGUGGGGAAUAUUGCACAAUGGGCGCAAGCCUGAUGCAGCCAUGCCGCGUGUAUGAAGAAGGCCUUCGGGUUGUAAAGUACUUUCAGCGGGGAGGAAGGGAGUAAAGUUAAUACCUUGACUCAUUGACGUUACCCGCAGAAGAAGCACCGGCUAACUCCGUG